ensembl:lncRNA
GUGUGUGUGAGAGUGUAUGUGUGUGUGAGAGAGAGAGUGAGAGUGUUGAUAGUGUGUGUGUGUGUGUGAGAGAGAGAGAGUGAGAGUGUAUAUGUGUGUGUGAGAGAGAGAGAGUGAGAGUGUAUGUGUUAGUGAGAGUGUAUGUGUGUGUGUGUGUGUGUGUGUGUGUGUGUGACUUUUUGAAACACAUUCCUACUUAGGCUCAGUUCUGGUCCACACUUUUGACCACUUGACGUGUGUGUGUGUGUGUGUGUGUGUGUGUGUGUGUGUGUGUGUGAACUCUUACAGUAAGUAAACACUAGAGUGUGAUUAUUGCCUCAUACACACUCUUCAGACACACCAUUAAUCGCCAUUUCCAAUAUUUGUAACCCGUAAGCAGGAAGAAACCAGAUGCUGCUUACACACACACACACACACACACACACACACACACACACACACACACACACUAACUAUGAAAUAACUGGAAAAAAAGUUCUACUUUCUCUUCAGACUUUUUCUUUAAGUGUCAUGCUACAUUUUAUCUUUUUUUUUUUUUCCUCCUUCUUCUUCUUUUGUGGCUUUCUCUAAACCCGUGUGAAAGCUUCGUGUC